GGGGCAUCUGUGUACUGUGGACACAUUCUUGUUUUGUAAUCUAUUACAUUUUAAUUAUUAUUUUAAAGAGGUAUAAAAGGUAAAAAUUUCAUAAGUUUAAAUAUGUUAUUCUUAAUUACAGUUGGUAUAUUAUACUAAAUACACCAAAAAUUCUAUCAAAGAAAGACAACUGCACUCUUUUAGACAUUAUAAAGUUGAGUAUAUAAUUGUUUAGGUUAAAAAGUGGUAUUAAACAACAUUUUUAGGUACACUGAAAUAGCAAUGUUUUCAAGAAAUAUAAUACAAGGAGAGUGUAGGCAUCACAAAAAUCGGCACUAUCAUAAAUGUGUGCAUAUUUUAGUGACAGAAAAUUUGUUUUUAUUCUUAUGAGAACAGUAUUCAAAAUGAAGCAACCAAGAAUGUCCGUAGGAUUGGAUCCAUAAACUACUGUUUCUUUACAGAUAAUGUUUGUUAAGGUGGUACCCAACACUUUAACUAAAAUCAAUUUUGCUCGUUUAAUUUUUAUAAAAUUUUGACCAAGUAUUUACUUUGACCCUUUGACAAAAAUAUAAAAAUUUCAAAAAAUUUGAACCAACCGUUUUAUCAGAAAAUUAAACUGGUUAUGUAGCAGUUUGACAAACACUGAUUUUGAACAUUGAGAAGUUUGAUAUUCCCUUAACAACACAAUUGUAACGUAAGUAAAAUGUUUAGCCGAUUUUACAGAGUUAUCUCCCUGUAGUGUUAGGUACCAACUAUAUAAUCAGAAUAAACCAUUUGUGCAAUGCAAUUUCCAGUUCAUGCUUACUGCAACUUACUCUAAUAGUAAACAAAGCAAACCCAGACUAUGCCUCAAUUAACAGCAGAUUAUGAACAUAGCACUUAACCUAAACUGCACCCAAUAAGAUAUAAAUAUUACUGUAAAUUCAGAAAUUUUUAAGUGUGAUU
rnacentral:lncRNA from 1 species